rnacentral:lncRNA from 1 species
GACGAUGAAGAUGACGACAACGACAACAACAAGAAAAACAACAACAAUAAGAACAACAAGAACAACAACAACAACAACAACAAAAACAAAAACAGCCACAACAACAACAACGACACCACCACCACCACCACCACCACCACAAACAACAACAACAACAAUACCUACAACAACAACAACAACAACAACAACAACAACAACAACCACCACCACCACCACCACAACAACAACAACAACAACAACAACAACAACAACAACAACGACGAUGUCGGCGAAAUGAGGACGACAAUGACGACAACGACGACAAUGACGAGACCAGCGACAAUAAGGACAACAACGACAACAACGACAAUAACAACAAAAACAACAACAACAACAAC